AGAGCGAACGCUGGCGGCAGGCUUAACACACGCAAGUCGAGCGGGCGUAGCAAUACGUCAGCGGCAGACGGGUGAGUAACGCGUGGGAACGUACCUUUUGGUUCGGAACAACCCAGGGAAACUUGGGCUAAUACCGGAUAAGCCCUUACGGGGAAAGAUUUAUCGCCGAAAGAUCGGCCCGCGUCUGAUUAGCUAGUUGGUGAGGUAAUGGCUCACCAAGGCGACGAUCAGUAGCUGGUCUGAGAGGAUGAUCAGCCACAUUGGGACUGAGACACGGCCCAAACUCCUACGGGAGGCAGCAGUGGGGAAUAUUGGACAAUGGGCGCAAGCCUGAUCCAGCCAUGCCGCGUGAGUGAUGAAGGCCCUAGGGUUGUAAAGCUCUUUUGUGCGGGAAGAUAAUGACGGUACCGCAAGAAUAAGCCCCGGCUAACUUCGUGCCAGCAGCCGC
rnacentral:rRNA from 1 species